UUGAUACCUUUAGUUACCUAGGACACAUGAAAAAACAUGUGUUUUAGUUGAUAGCUUGAGGGCUUAAGAGAUAAUAGAUGUUUCUCAGCUUCUGCUAGUUACCAGUACCUAAAUAACAUAGCUGUGUAUGACAAGACCUGGUUAAAAGGAAACUAACUAGGCAUCAGCUGGCUACUGUUGUAGACAAAUACUUGCUGUGGUUUUUAAUGUCUUCACCAUGACUCAGGGUGAAUUUUAAUCUCAAUUCUGAGAUAUUGAGAGGAUGUAAAUUAACAAAGUAAGGUGCCUGAAAAGUAGAUUUUUGAGAGGUAUAAUGGUUUCUUUCAUGCUGGUGUGAUCAAAUUAUCUGAUAGGAACAACAUAAGGGAGAAAGGUCCUUUAGGCUCACCGUUUUAGAGGAACUUCAGCCCAUCAUGGUAAGGAAGGUAUCAUGAUCGUGGGCCUUUAUAGUGGAGACGUCUCACUUCAUGAUGGAUGAGGAAGCAGAGUGAACAGGUUAGAAUAGAGCCUCCAUGAUACCAGUGGCUUUAUUUACAAUGAACCAAUGGACUGCUUGCUGUGAUGCGACCUUGGUGCAGGCACAAAGACAACAGGGCCAAGUGAUCAUGGAUUGAGACCCCUGGAAUUAUCCUUGGUUGAUAGAAUCUGCUGACAUGGAACUUGCAGCUAUGUAGAGCGGUGAGUGGAGUUAUUUUGUGGCAAUUACUGGCAGCAGAAGCCAACUGUUUUUCAUGUGCCAACUGAUGAUCUAUCUAACAGGGAAGCUGUAGAAGACAAAAGCACUAUGAUACCUGAGAGCUGGCAAAGACUAUGAUUGAGGUAAAGCACCAUGGGAGCAGAUUGGGAGCCAGCCAGGAGGUGAGAAACCCGCGGACACGCACCAUCAAUGCUGCCACCAACUGAACUCCAUUCCCACAGAACAUACUCCACUGCCCACCCACACCUACCCCAGCAUUCUCCCAGUGGACAGCCCUCUCCUGCAACAUCUGCAGACCCUAUAGGCACAAGCACCACCCACACCAGUUGGAAGAACAACAGGCAGCUAGCAGAUAAGAGACCUUCAGGCAGGCUGCAGCACCACCGCUGACACCCAUUGGACCUUGUGACCUGAAAGACCCACUCCGCAGCCCAAGACCACCAAGCCCAUCCUCCCCCAACCCCCGCCAGCUGUCCCCCACAGCAUCCGCAACCUCUAGAGGCACAAGGAACAGCUGCACCAGUUGGAAGGUCAGGUGAGUACCAGAUCUCCCAGCUAAACUGCCCCAAUCUCUAGGCCCUGAACCCUAGGGCACAUCCUGUGCCCA